UAGUGGGGAUUGCCCCCGCCUGUCACGCGGGAGACCGGGGUUCGAUUCCCCGACGGGGAG
rnacentral:tRNA from 1 species